AAUGAACACUGGCGGCACGCCUUACACAUGCAAGUCGAACGGUAACAGGUUAAGCUGACGAGUGGCGAACGGGUGAGUAAUGUAUCGGAACGUGCCCAGUCGUCGGGGAUAACUGCUCGAAAGAGCAGCUAAUACCGACGACGACCGGAGGGUGUAAGCUGGGGAAAGCAACACCGCCAGCGAUUGGCGCGACCGAUAGCAGAUUAGGUAGUUGGUGGGGUAAAAGCCCACCAAGCCGACGAUCUGUAGCUGGUCUGAGAGGACGACCAGCCACACUGGGACUGAGACACGGCCCAGACUCCUACGGGAGGCAGCAGUGGGGAAUUUUGGCCAAUGGGCGCAAGCCUGAUCCAGCAAUGCCGCGUGCGGGAAGAAGGCCUUCGGGUUGUAAACCGCUUUUGUCAGGGAAGAAAAGGUUCUGGUUAAUACCUUGGACUCAUGACGGUACCUGAAGAAUAAGCACCGGCUAACUACGUGCCAGCCGCCGCCGUAAUAC
rnacentral:rRNA from 1 species